rnacentral:lncRNA from 1 species
AAAAAUGUACACAAAUUACUAAAAUAAAAAAUAGCUGAACUAAAAACAAUGACUAAAUCUUGACAUUAUCAUCAAAUAUUAUCUUUACAGAGCUUAGAAAAUCACACUAUAAUUUCUUAAUGAUAUUACAGAGUCUUUAUUCAAAAAAUUGAGAAAAGUAAUAAAGUAGUUCAACUUGAUCUUCAUCACUCCAAUCACUUUGAUAAUCCUCUCCGGCAGGUGAUUUUUUUUCUUGCUCCUGUGAUCCUUCGUGGCCUUGUUGUCCUUGGCCCUCCUGAAAGCCACCACAACCUUGUUGUCCUUGGCCAUGCUCAUGUGCCAAGUGGGGACAUGCCAUCUCAAGUUGCCCAGCACCAUUCAUCACCACAAAGAUCAUAAUUGCCUUGGAAUCGAAGAAGAUAGUUGACAAGCCUCCCUGAACAAACACAUCAAUCAAGAUCACCCAAAUAAAUACAUUUAUAAACAUCGGCAUAUCUAGUGAGAAUGAAAUGAACAUACCUGUGUGAUGUUAGCAAAGGAAACAGUAACAUCAAGAUCUUCGAGCGGCCUAAAGUCUCUAGGUUUAAUCCCACAGAGCUCACCAAACUCAAUUUGAUUCAACAGGAUUCUGCCUUAAGAUAUUAAUCUUGUUCUCAGAUUCACCAGGAUUCUGCCUUAAGACACAAAGUCCUAAAUAAGUACACAAAGCAUUCAUUCUGUUGUUAUGUUAAAUUAAAGCCUUUAUUAAAUGCACAAAGUACUUACUAGUAUACACAAAGCACUUAAGUAUGCACAAAAAAGCACUUAAAAGUAUAAGAAUACACUUAAGUAUAAAAUAUGCACAAAGCACUUAAAAGUAUACACAAAGCACUUCAUAAAAAAUUCCUUAAAGUGACAAACUUUAAGGAAUUAUGAAGACUGUGAGAUAUUUGUUAUGAGACAUAUGGAGACUUAUUUGGGUGAACAGAAUACCUUGAAUACUGGAUUUAAAGCAGAGAAGGUACUUGCAAAUUAAAGGCGUUUUCACAUUAUAUUAUCAAAUAAUUUAAGUUACUAUUUUAACCUUUUUUCUAAUUUUUGUUGAUUCAAAUAGGAAUGAGAGCACAACUUGAACGAUUAAGGGUGAAAUACUCAAAUGCAAUCCUUACAUCUCACUUGAAUGAAUACAGAGAGAUUGAAUCAAAGAAGGCAAAAGGCUUCAACAAAUAGAUUGCAAACAAGACACUCAUGCCCAUUGUACUUGCAUCAAGUUCAAAGAAACUCGAGAACACAGAGAUUCACGAGAAUGUUAUAUUUCCAGACAUUGAAAUAGGACAUGAAAAAGCAUAAUGAAGUACCGGCUGCUAGAAACUCACACCAGCUACCAAAGAGUCAAAAAACUGAUCAACAAAUGUUCUACAACUAUUAUCAAGACACUUUGGCAAAUAAUACCUACUACUUUAUGGAAUUAUACUAAGAUUUGAAAAAGAGUCAUCGCUUUCCACACCUGAUGCACUACCAGAACCUUGACAUAGAUGUAGCAUCAUUAACAUAUUGCUUAACACGUGUUGAAUCUACACUACC